UAAAGGUAUUCCGGUAGACGAUGGGGAUGCGUUCCAUUAGAUAGUAGGCGGGGUAACGGCCCACCUAGUCUUCGAUGGAUAGGGGUUCUGAGAGGAAGGUCCCCCACAUUGGAACUGAGACACGGUCCAAACUCCUACGGGAGGCAGCAGUGAGGAAUAUUGGUCAAUGGGCGCAGGCCUGAACCAGCCAAGUAGCGUGAAGGAUGACUGCCCUAUGGGUUGUAAACUUCUUUUAUAAAGGAAUAAAGUCGGGUAUGGAUACCCGUUUGCAUGUACUUUAUGAAUAAGGAUCGGCUAACUCCGUGCCAGCAGCCGCGGUAAUACGGAGGAUCCGAGCGUUAUCCGGAUUUAUUGGGUUUAAAGGGAGCGUAGAUGGAUGUUUAAGUCAGUUGUGAAAGUUUGCGGCUCAACCGUAAAAUUGCAGUUGAUACUGGAUAUCUUGAGUGCAGUUGAGGCAGGCGGAAUUCGUGGUGUAGCGGUGAAAUGCUUAGAUAUCACGAAGAACUCCGAUUGCGAAGGCAGCCUGCUAAGCUGCAACUGACACUGAGGCUCGAAAGUGUGGGUAUCAAACAGGAUUAGAUACCCUGGUAGUCCACACGGUAAACGAUGAAUACUCGCUGUUUGCGAUAUACGGCAA
rnacentral:rRNA from 1 species